rnacentral:rRNA from 1 species
UACAGAGGGUGCGAGCGUUGUUCGGAAUUAUUGGGCGUAAAGAGCUCGUAGGCGGUGUGUCGCGUCGGCCGUGAAAACCUGCAGCUUAACUGUGGGCGUGCGGUCGAUACGGGCAUCACUGGAGUUCGGCAGGGGAGACUGGAAUUCCUGGUGUAGCGGUGAAAUGCGCAGAUAUCAGGAGGAACACCGGUGGCGAAGGCGGGUCUCUGGGCCGAUACUGACGCUGAGGAGCGAAAGCGUGGGGAGCGAACAGG